AUAGCUUCCACCCUAGAGUGGUAGAGGCUGGGGAUGCAUGAGGUGACCACCUAGUUGUGAAGUACAGCUGGGCACUGCUGCAAAAAUCUGUAAUGUUGGUAGCUGGGAGGCUGGGGCAGAAAAAGAGUUCAAAGCCAGCCUGUACUAUGUGUCGUCUCAAACACAAAUGACCUCAGCCCAAAUUAAGAAAGCAAUUAGUUGGAAAGGCAGAAGGACUUGGAGUCUACAUUCCCUUUAUGUAGAUGAGAGCAGUACUUCUACUGUUCAGCUCCUGUGUGGGAGAUAGGGAAGGGCCUAGGAAGCAUUCUUUAUGUCUAGGAAAAUGAAGUAUUGAUCGGCUUGUAUACAUCAGAGGAAUACACUUCACACACACCAGGAUAGAUGGGGACAGGGAUGCCCCUCUGAUAGGACUCUCCCUGGCCUCCAUCUUGCUGAGGAGCCUGGUUCACCAAGAAAGGUUAAUGUUGAAAGCCUCCACAGAAUGUGCACAUGGGAAGCCAGGCGCUGUCAGGUUUCCUGCUACUUUUACACAAAGCCAGCUUAUUCAGAAGGCUUGAGAUUCAAGAGGAUGAGUGGGGCCAGGUCACCAAUGGCCCGAAGAGGAGAUUUCUCUGGUCUGUUUUAUCCUGAUGCCUCUGAGGACAGUUUAACCCACACUUGGGAAUCACUGAUGGGGAGAAGAGCAGAGAGGAGACAUGAAACUUAGCAUUUACUCAGGAGGUGGUGCUGUCAUCCAUAGGGAGUAUAGACAGAGCAGGCAGGACAGAGGUGGGGACAGAGCUUAAAGAGGAGCCGAGGACAAAGGAUGAACAGGAGUCCUCUGCAAGGAAGAGAGGGCAGAAGAAAGCUCUUUCCUUGCUGUGAGCACCUGACACACUGGAGAGCCCAGUGUGUGGUAGGAGGAACUGGUUUGGGAACAAGAAUCAGAGUUUAAUUUCAAAGCUUGGAGUGCCCAUGGGGCAGGCACAGCAUCUGCUCAAGGAGCUCCAGAGACAUCUUGGGGUAGGGAUGACGGUCGGGAGGCAUCAGCUGGCAGAUGCUCAGGAAGGCUUGGGAGCAAACCAGAUCAUCCUGGGAAAUCUUGAAGAUGAAAGGAAGAAAGUAGAGGAGGGACCCUGGAGGAAACACACUCGUUUAAAGAGCAAGACUUAAUGGCAACCUGUUAGAAGAUAAAAAAGGAACAGAAAACAUUUAUAGCCGCAGCGAAAAAGAUGAAAAACCUAGGAAUAAACAUAAGAAGAAGUGUGCAAGAUCUAAGUAGAGAAAGUAUUAAAAUACUUCCAAGCAACAAGAAUCAUUUGAAUAAUGUUCUUGGACAUGAAAACGAACAUCGUGAAAUUGUCUGUUCUCCCUUGGAUGAUUCAGAAUUUAAUAAGAGUCUCGAUAGAAACCAAGCCUUUGUUGUCAGUGUUUAGACAAACUGACUCAAAUUUUCCUAUGGAAAAAUAAAUAAAUAUAGAGAAAAUU